ensembl:miRNA
UGUAGUUGCCCAUCAAUCGCUCAGUAGUCAGUGUAGAUUCUGUCUUUACAAUCAGCAGCUACAUCUGGCUACUGGGUCUCUGAUGACAUCUCA